GUGGGGAAUAUUGGACAAUGGGCGAAAGCCUGAUCCAGCCAUGCCGCGUGUGUGAAGAAGGUCUUCGGAUUGUAAAGCACUUUAAGUUGGGAGGAAGGGCAGUAAGUUAAUACCUUGCUGUUUUGACGUUACCAACAGAAUAAGCACCGGCUAACUUCGUGCCAGCAGCCGCGGUAAUACGAAGGGUGCAAGCGUUAAUCGGAAUUACUGGGCGUAAAGCGCGCGUAGGUGGUUCAGCAAGUUGAAGGUGAAAUCCCCGGGCUCAACCUGGGAACUGCCUCCAAAACUGCAUGACUAGAGUACGGUAGAGGGUAGUGGAAUUUCCUGUGUAGCGGUGAAAUGCGUAGAUAUAGGAAGGAACACCAGUGGCGAAGGCGACUACCUGGACUGAUACUGACACUGAGGUGCGAAAGCGUGGGGAGCAAACAGGAUUAGAACCCGGGUAGUCC
rnacentral:rRNA from 1 species